GGGCCGAUAGUUCAGUUGGCUAGAACGCUACAUUUGCAAUGUAGAGGUCGCCGGUUCGAGCCCGGCUCGGUCCA
rnacentral:tRNA from 1 species